rnacentral:rRNA from 1 species
GACGAGCGCUGGCGGCGUGCUUAACACAUGCAAGUCGAACGGAAAGGCCCUUCGGGGUACUCGAGUGGCGAACGGGUGAGUAACACGUGGGUGAUCUGCCCUGCACUUUGGGAUAAGCCUGGGAAACUGGGUCUAAUACCGAAUAGGACCACGCGCUUCAUGGUGUGUGGUGGAAAGCUUUUGCGGUGUGGGAUGGGCCCGCGGCCUAUCAGCUUGUUGGUGGGGUAAUGGCCUACCAAGGCGACGACGGGUAGCCGGCCUGAGAGGGUGACCGGCCACACUGGGACUGAGGUACGGCCCAGACUCCUACGGGAGGCAGCAGUGGGGAAUAUUGCACAAUGGGCGCAAGCCUGAUGCAGCGACGCCGCGUGAGGGAUGACGGCCUUCGGGUUGUAAACCUCUUUCACCAGGGACGAAGCGUAAGUGACGGUACCUGGAGAAGAAGCACCGGCCAACUACGUG